CUCUGGCUGAAAAAUUAUAUAUACUAAAAAAUACCUGUAAAACAAAUGCAUAUAGCUACACACAUGUCAACUGAUACAGGAACAAAGAGCUGCUCCCAGUUCAUUUCACAUUUCCUUUUGCCAUUUGCCAAAAGACGUUCAGCUGAAGUCAGCAGAACUUCCCAUUGCUCCCCAAUUACUGCCUCCGACUCGGAGCAAACCAUGACAGCUUCACGUUUGCUUCUACAUUUCAUUUUUAUGGCACUGCAACAUCUGCAGAGGAUGCUGUAAUUAAAAGAAGGAAUAAAAUUAAGUUUUAAAAAAAAGUACGGAUGCAAGUCAGCUGGUUUGCCUGAGGAAAAUGGAUAUACAGCAAGUGAAUGAGUACGGAUGGCCCUCAGCAACAGCAGUCAGCAAACUGUAACCUCCUGAACUCAACAUCACUGCGACUGCUGAAGUGCUGUUGUGAGGAGGUUCUGCAUUCCUGGUUUGCAUGUUCAGCUCGUCAUCUCCUCCUAAACACAGCCCAGGAACUAUUGAUUGAUUGGCUUGACAUCCUUCAAAUGCAACGUGAAGACUGAUGGAUAAAUCCCAGCUUUCCACCUCGCCUGACCUGAAAAGCUCCAUUCUUACCCUCGGUGACACUGCAGCACUAUUGUGCAUCCUCACACAAAGAGCCUGAACUGAAACAACACCAUGCAACAGCACUGUCCAGCAAUGCAAACAACCUUCCUCAAACUCAACAGCCUGCUGAGGAAAAGACAGCAGUGCCUGGGGACAGCAGCACCACAGCACAGCAGAUGCGCUCCGCUGCUCACCCAACACCUCACCCCCAAGCAUUAAUUUUUGCUGUGCCACAAGCUGCUGUUUCAAGUUUAACGCUGUGCUUUCCUGGAUUUCACAACUGAUUUAAAAAUAGAACGAACAGAAGAUUCUUUCCUCUAAAGGUUUCGGUUCCUUCUUUGCAAAAGCUUCAUCGACUCCUCCUGGUGCAACACGGUCUGACCUCCAGCUGAAAUCAGCCACCACUGCAUCAGUCCUUGGGGUUUAAUGACCAACCCUCAUGAGCCAUACAGACUGCACACCAAAACAACGAAGACAGGACACAGAACGGGUGGAAAACCAAACCAAGAUUUCACUCUAAACAAGGAAAAGAGCUAUUAAAACUAUAUUCAAUUACCAAAACAGCAUUUGGUGCUGAGUGAGGGUCUGGAUCGGUUAUCAGGUGCCAGAUGUCAUCUCUUCAGCUCACCCAGAAGGAUGCAGCGAUGUUCAACGCGUGCAUCACACACAAAAUCUGACUGUGAAAGUGCCAGCAAGUCUUCUGCUCCGUUUGCUUUGCUGCUGGUUGUUCUGCUAACGCUUGGGAAGGCGAAGGAGGAAAGGCAUUCCAGCAGCACACUGUGAAGAACACCAUGCAUUUGUCCAUCUACAGCCUGCAGUAAGGUUGAUGAUGCUGUGUAAACAUUGAAGCACUCUCUCUGGCACCCCUGUGCCCCUCAGCCCCAGAAACAACACAGCAGCAGCUCACUGCAUGCAGGCCUGAGCCUCCUCUUGCAAACACUGACCAAGAAGGAAUGAGGACAGAUGUACUGACAGAGUUCUAGCUGUCUCAUCUCUGCAGACUGUCACCCUUCCAUGGGGAAGAAGUGCACUGUCUGCUAUACAGCCUCAUCCCAAAGAAGCAGGACUUGCAAAUCAGCUUCAAAAGCCAUUUUCCCUUCUAACCUCCAGCAAAGAAUACGAGCGAGAGGCCUUCACUGAGGAGUGCAAGAAAGGACCUUUGGCUCCGGGAUGACAAACAGCUCAGAGGCCACACAGCUCCAUGGCUUCUCAUUCCGGCUAUUGUCAGCUAAUAAUAGAACCACAGAGCCCACACAGCCUGGUGCUGGCUAUCCACGUUUCCAUCUGAGAGCUAUUUAAAGCGUCAAACGAGCAAGUUUCUCUUUGAAUGUCAGCUCAAUACGGGAAGUCGGGGCCAGCACAGCCUGCAGCAUCGCUGCAUUCCCCAAGGCUGCCUGUUAAUUACGCAGCACAGAGCUGAUCUUGCAUGGAAGCUGUGGUUGCAAUGCUGCUCCUGCACGACCAAAGCAUCUGGCUUUGGAACAUCAAUGGCACACGCAGAGCCAUUGAAUAACUCGGGUGGGAAGGGAGACUGUACACCAAAUCGCUUUCACAGGGUAAAUGUUACCUCAGCUGCACUUGCAGUAAGCUGGCAAUUCAGUAAUUCUCUAUGGAAUUACACAGAAAUGUCUGUAGAAGUAAAAACACCACCAAGCUGCUGCUUCAGUGCUCGUCCUGUGCUGGUGGUGAGGACAGGCACUCAGCCGUGUGCUGCUUUCCAAGAAGCAGACAGCAGGAACCUCUGUAUGGGUUCCCAAUCCCUCAUGCAUCACACGCCAUUCCCCUGGGACACUGCCCACCUCUCAGCAUGGCUUACAUUUACUUAUGAAGCGAUGCACCUUCCACAGGACAAAACAACACGCUCAUAUUAUUUCUGUAAAGAUUCAAGUUUUCCUUCAGAAUCGAUGCUGGAAUAUCAGUCUUUAAGAAGCCUGGGAGCUCCUCAGGAUUUAGGAGCCCCAUCGCCACCCCAGCACUCUGCACACAAGCCUGGCAGUGCUCCUCACCCUGCAGCUCAGCCCUUCCUUGUGCCAUUCCCAUUGCAACAACUGGGACUGCAUACGAAGCAGGACUGAAAAAAAAACGUAGUGAAGUCCUCCACACUGACUUCUUGCUUGCUAAAGUAGAUUUCAUUUAUUCUCAGUCUGCAGACUGCUCAACGUGAACAGAACAUUGAAGGAGAUAUCACUGAGGAACCCCUUGGCAAGCCAAGAAAAGCCAGCUCUCAAAGUGAACCCACUGCUUGCCUGCUCUCCUCCAAGCUUUGGGCUCAGUGGAGCCGCCAACAGAACUGAGACCAGCCUGCAUCCAAACCUACUGACAGCAGUGAAGAUAAGAGCAAGUUGUUCUGCUCAGUGCAAACCCACGGUGGGGAGCAGCUCUCAUCCAGAGCCUGCAGAAAUGCUGCAUAUGGCAGAGCAAAAGAGCUCGAGUUAAACCCAAAACAGCCACACGGGGAAGUGAAGAAUAAGCGUAUAAAAAUACCAACUUAGGUAGUGAAAGAAAUGCAGUCUGCACUAUUCGUUUACUUAGCCUAACCACACCAUUAACCAUUCGCCAUCAGUAAUAACAGACAUCCUCACCAUCACCACUAUGCAGAGAAUAUCCGUGCUGUCAGUAUGAACAGCCUAACCUCAAACCAAGCUAAGGCACGUAGGAAAUGACAUCACCACGGAACCAGAAUCCCAAUUGUCAGUCCAUCCUAAUCACUGACGCGGCCAAGUGCAUUUCUCUUAGCUCUCCGUGCACUUUUCCCCUUCCUUGGAUGGGGACGAUGGCUUUGUAGCUGUGUCUGUUCCAGCCCCAGCUGAUAUGCAGAUGAAAAAGCCAAGGGAUGGCUCAGCAGGGAAGGGCUGCAGGGUGUGCUUCAGCACUGAGAGCUCACAGCUGCAGGGAAGUGCCCACCAAGCCCCUGUGCGACAGGCAGUGGGUGAGCAUCUCUGGCCACGUUCUCAACUCACCCAUCUUUUUGGCAGCUCAAAGGUUUGUAAGUUUUAAAGCACGUCUGACAUUCAGGACCGUCAAUCCAGCAUCUCUGCCAGCACUGAGGUUCAUGUAAGCCCUUAACUCCUAAAAAUAAACCAUCAAGGAAACAUUCAUUCAGUCUCAUUCCCACCGGAGCAAGAACAACUUUGGAAGAAUCAUUAAAAAAAAAAAAAGCAUUUAAAAAUAGCAAACCUGUUUAUUUGCAUUCUGAAAUUUCAGUGGAGCAUCUCUUUCCCACUCAUUCCCAGUCCAACUCCCGAAGGCAGAAGGCAGGGAGGACAAGAAAAAAAAGAGCAAAAGGAGUCAAGAGAAAUGCUCUGAGUGCUGCCUGGCUGCACUUUAGCUACGUGCCAAUACUACUCAGCACUGCACCUCACUGAUGGAAUUGCUUCUGAUUGUUCUUUGCUGGAUGAAGAGAGCAGAGCAGCGGCUGCACAGCUGUGCAGGAACACCCUGAGCAGCAUCUCCAACCACACAGACCAAAAGAUUAAAAAAAAAAACAACCCCACGACGUUCUCUCAACGCAUUUCAAGAUCUGUAAUGGAAUCCCAUAAAUCUCAGCAGGGUCGUUGUUUUAAGGUCACGUCGAGUAAUUGGCUGCCCUUUAAUCUCUGCACCUCCUUUCGGUCUGCUCCGAACGCAGCACUGCUUCUCUGCAUCUUUUGGAUCUCUGAAAUGAGAGGUGCUGCCCAACACCCCGAGCAACGCGGUGACACAAAGCAACAUUGCCACCACCACCACGUUGGGCUGCACGGAUGCUGAACAAACAGAAGUCAAUGGACUCUUUCCUGCAGAUGCUGCUCUUGGAGGAACCCACAGCAGCAGGAAAGCACAGCAGCCUUGACCACCAGCUCCUUCCCAUGAUACCAACAGAGCCUUCCUCCCUCGAGGACCACGGCACUGUGAUGUUCCUACCAUGGGUGCUCCCUCAGACACAGCCACAAAUUCAUUGCUCACUGCUUUCAGCACAUAAAAGAUGAAUUCACCGACAGGGAUUUUCCACCCAGCCCAACUCUGGGAUUUCUUCCCUUGGUUUACAUGCAAGGUUCACCCCCACCUGCCCCCAGGGCACUUACAGACACAUUUUCUGGAGAGAGAGAGAGAGAAAGAUGAAAGGCAUUUCAGCAGCAGAGGGAUGCACCAAGCUCCUUACAGCUAUUGGGUUCAUUCUGAUGGAUGUAGGGGGGGGGAAGAGAUAAUUUGAUUGAAAGCAGGGAACCCUCUGAUUAACCACAAACUACUAAUGCUCCAGCUUUGAUUAAAGCAAUACACAGUUAAAUCUCUGCCAGCAACUGCAUGCUGCCUGUCCUCUGCUUCUCCUUUCUAUAGCAUGACUCAUGGGGGAGCCAAAAAAAAAAAAAAAAGAG